rnacentral:rRNA from 1 species
GUCGAGCGGUAGAGAGGUGCUUGCACCUCUUGAGAGCGGCGGACGGGUGAGUAAUGCCUAGGAAUCUGCCUGGUAGUGGGGGAUAACGCUCGGAAACGGACGCUAAUACCGCAUACGUCCUACGGGAGAAAGCAGGGGACCUUCGGGCCUUGCGCUAUCAGAUGAGCCUAGGUCGGAUUAGCUAGUUGGUGAGGUAAUGGCUCACCAAGGCGACGAUCCGUAACUGGUCUGAGAGGAUGAUCAGUCACACUGGAACUGAGACACGGUCCAGACUCCUACGGGAGGCAGCAGUGGGGAAUAUUGGACAAUGGGCGAAAGCCUGAUCCAGCCAUGCCGCGUGUGUGAAGAAGGUCUUCGGAUUGUAAAGCACUUUAAGUUGGGAGGAAGGGCAUUAACCUAAUACGUUAGUGUUUUGACGUUACCGACAGAAUAAGCACCGGCUAACUCUGUGCCAGCAGCCGCGGUAAUACAGAGGGUGCAAGCGUUAAUCGGAAUUACUGGGCGUAAAGCGCGCGUAGGUGGUUCGUUAAGUUGGAUGUGAAAGCCCCGGGCUCAACCUGGGAACUGCAUUCAAAACUGUCGAGCUAGAGUAUGGUAGAGGGUGGUGGAAUUUCCUGUGUAGCGGUGAAAUGCGUAGAUAUAGGAAGGAACACCAGUGGCGAAGGCGACCACCUGGACUGAUACUGACACUGAGGUGCGAAAGCGUGGGGAGCAAACAGGAUUAGAUACCCUGGUAGUCCACGCCGUAAACGAUGUCAACUAGCCGUUGGGAGCCUUGAGCUCUUAGUGGCGCAGCUAACGCAUUAAGUUGACCGCCUGGGGAGUACGGCCGCAAGGUUAAAACUCAAAUGAAUUGACGGGGGCCCGCACAAGCGGUGGAGCAUGUGGUUUAAUUCGAAGCAACGCGAAGAACCUUACAAGCCUUGACAUCCAAUGAAACUUUCCAGAGAUGGAUUGGGUGCCUUCCGGGAGCAUUGAGACAGGUGCUGCAUGGCUGUCGUCAGCUCGUGUCGUGAGAAUGUUGGGUUAAGUCCCGUAACGAGCGCAACCCUUUGUCCCUUAGUUACCAGCCACGUUAUGGGUGGGCAACUCUAAGGAGACUGGCCGGUGACAAACCGGGAGGAAGGUUGGGGGAUGGACGUCAAGGUCAUCAUGGGCCUAUACCGGCUGGGGCCUACACACGGUGCUAACAAAUGUUCUGUACAAUGGAUUGCCUAAGCGCGCCGAGGUGUGGAACCUCUUAU